AGCUGGACGUGUAUUUUUGCCCACAUGCGAGAACAAGAACGGCACAAGUGUGUUCUGCAGAAAAGGCUCUCCAAAGAACAUCUGCUGCGAGUGCUUAACGGAAUAACAUGGAUCAUGACAAUGACAGAUCGUGCAUCUGUGAUGACGGUACUUUUAUGAUGGUGAUGGUGACCUAUCUUGGACGAUCCUUUUGAAGAAAUUAGAAGAAAUAAAUGUUUGGAAGCAUAGUUUGUUCAUAAAUAUAUUCGUUAUCUGGCACGA